CCUACGGGAGGCAGCAGUGAGGAAUAUUGGUCAAUGGGCGCGAGCCUGAACCAGCCAAGUCGCGUGAGGGAAGACGGUCCUAUGGAUUGUAAACCUCUUUUGUCGGGGAGCAAAAGACGCCACGCGUGGCGUUCCGAGAGUAACCGAAGAAAAAGCAUCGGCUAAAUCCGUGCCAGCAGCCGCGGUAAUACGGAGGAUGCGAGCGUUAUCCGGAUUUAUUGGGUUUAAAGGGUGCGCAGGCGGAAGAUCAAGUCGGCGGUAAAAUUGAGAGGCUCAACCUCUUCGAGCCGUUGAAACUGGUUGUCUUGAGUUAGCGAGAAGUAUGCGGAAUGCGUGGUGUAGCGGUGAAAUGCAUAGAUAUCACGCAGAACUCCGAUUGCGAAGGCAGCAUACCGGCGCUCAACUGACGCUCAUGCACGAAAGUGUGGGUAUCGAACAGGAUUAGAUACCCGAGUAGUC
rnacentral:rRNA from 1 species